CAUGCAAGUCGAGCGAAUCUUUAGAAGCUUGCUUCUAAAGGUUAGCGGCGGACGGGUGAGUAACACGUGGGCAACCUGCCUGUAAGACUGGGAUAACUUCGGGAAACCGGAGCUAAUACCGGAUAAUUCUUUCCCUCUCAUGAGGGAAAGCUGAAAGACGGCGCAAGCUGUCACUUACAGAUGGGCCCGCGGCGCAUUAGCUAGUUGGUGAGGUAACGGCUCACCAAGGCGACGAUGCGUAGCCGACCUGAGAGGGUGAUCGGCCACACUGGGACUGAGACACGGCCCAGACUCCUACGGGAGGCAGCAGUGGGGAAUAUUGGACAAUGGGCGAAAGCCUGAUCCAGCCAUGCCGCGUGAGUGAUGAAGGCCCUAGGGUUGUAAAGCUCUUUCACCGGUGAAGAUAAUGACGGUAACCGGAGAAGAAGCCCCGGCUAACUUCGUGCCAGCAGCCGCGGUAAUACGAAGGGGGCUAGCGUUGUUCGGAAUUACUGGGCGUAAAGCGCACGUAGGCGGACUAUUAAGUCAGGGGUGAAAUCCCGGGGCUCAACCCCGGAACUGCCUUUGAUACUGGUAGUCUAGAGUCCGGAAGAGGUGAGUGGAAUUCCGAGUGUAGAGGUGAAAUUCGUAGAUAUUCGGAGGAACACCAGUGGCGAAAGCGGCUCACUGGUCCGGUACUGACGCUGA
rnacentral:rRNA from 1 species